ensembl:lncRNA
GAGUGAAUGUGAUGUGACUCAUGAGCAUGUUUGUGAGUGUGGAUCGAGUGUGUGGAUCCAAUGCAUGAAUCGUGUGUGUGUGGAUCCUGUGUGAGCAUCCUGUGUUUUGUGUUUGUGAGUGCGGACCCUGUGUGAGUGUGAAUCCUGUGUGUUUGUGGGUGUAGACCCUGGUGAGUGUGAAUCCUGUGUGUUUGUGAAUCGUGAGUGUGUUUUGUUUGCGGGUGUGGACCCUGAGUGUGAAUUCUGUGGAUCCUGUGUCUGUGAAUCUCGAGUGUGUUUUGUGUUUGCGGGUGUGGACUUUAUAUGAGCCUGAAUUACAUGCAUGACUGUGUAAGUGUGAGUGUGCAUUUGCGUGAGUGUGCAAGUGUGAGCGUGCGUUUGUGUGAGAGUGUGUGAGUGUGCACUGGCACCCAGCUCAUGGGGCACCUCUCCAGUCCUUGCAGGUGGGUGAGGGUGUGGGCUGGAGGGAGGCCGAGACCUGCACUGGGAGGGAGGUGUGCAGUCUGUUUCUGACCCCAGGAACUUCCCAGCUCCGGGCUCACAGGUGGCAGUGGCCACUGGACCCCACCUGGGCCCCUCACCGCCCUGCAGUCCCUCAUCGCCAGCUCCCUUGUUUGGCUGCUUUGGCUCAGCCCGUGGGUUCAGGAUGGAGCCAGGAGCAGGGGCUGUGUAGGACACUGGCAGCAGGAGCUGACUGGCCAGUGGCCUCUGUGCUGAGGCUGUCCGCAGCCAUCCACCUAGGGAAGAUAUGAUCGCCUCGGGGAGGCCACCUCCUGGCACCAGCCCCUCGCCAGCCCCUUGCUAGCCCCAGGCCCCAGCAGGAGUCGCAGCCUCCCCGGGGCCUCCCCUGGGCCUCCCUCGGGCCUCCCUGGUGGGUGGGUGCUCCCUUGCCUGACCAGGCUGUCAUGCGCAGAGCCCCACACCAGGGACAGGUGGCCGUGACUGACAGGGCCUCUGUGCCUGUACAAAGCGGGCAGCGGCGACCUUUGUAAGGGGAGAGGCCCAUUCCUUGUGGCAUGUCUUUCCCGCCCUCAGGCCUGUGCAUUCCACACUGAGCAUGACACUCAUUUCCUAGACGAAAAAUGUUAGGACUUCAGUGCACGCCAGAGCCUUGUACAACCAACAGCUUUUGACAUAGUGGAAGUGAAACGUCUCAGGUCUAUUAACACCGGGGAGGGGCAGACCUGCUGCCUGUGAGGACACCUGCCAUUCCAGCUGCACCACAGGCCACAGUGCAGCCGAAUCCCAGACCACCAACCCCCUGAACCCAGGUUAGACGGAGAAAUAAAAUUCUAGAUCCUUCCCUGUAGGCAUCUUACCCGCAGGGCUAGCACCCGAUGUCAUUAUCAUGCUGGUAAAUGUGAGAUCAUGGCCUGCGUCCAUCUGAAAGUGUCACUUAGGAACUGCAGCCCACCUGGUGAUCUUCAAGGAAACCAGCCGUAGCAGGGCCUGGGCGCAGAACACCUGCUCAGCGCCACUGUCCAGGGAUGUGAGUGUAAGACGGGGGGGCUGGCCAGCUCUUCUGCCUCGGAAACGUGCAUUUUGUUUGAUGGAAACGCUAAGGUGGAGGUGUGCAGGCUCCCAGAUGUAACAUGUCGGCAUCCCAGAAGGAAGUGCAAGCGCUGUGUGUUUCCACAGCCUCUUGUAGUCCCUUUGCACCCCACCUAAAGACAACCAGUAGGCACAGCCUGUCUUCAUGCAGCACGGCAGGGUGCCAUGAAGCUGGGCAGUGCCAUCACUGAUAUUGUGGUUAUGCUGUGGUUUUCAUAACCCCAGAGAAAAUACUAGAAUGAGAAAAAGGGAUCUGCUUUCCCAUUUGACAGGACUACCGUAUUUACACAAAAAUCCAGCUUUCUGGCCAAAGGAAAAUAGGAAAUGACAUGCUAUUAUCGACGGCCAAUCAUUGAAAGUCCUUUAACAGCCACAUUUCAUGGAGGUGUAACCUCAAUCCUUUUCCCAUCAAGACACGAAAGUUAACUCUGAUAGAUCCUAAUAACAAGGAAAUAUUUCCUCAAACAAGAUGAAAGGGUCUGUUGUGCAAGAACCACGAAGGAUUUCCAUUCUCCAAGGCCCGGGAACAUUUUCCUUCAGGAUAGGAAUUGUCCCCAAGUCCCUUUCCCCUGCAGACACAUUCCAUGGCGGAGGUGUGUCACCGUGGGCGGAGAGCCUUUCUUUCUCAACAGUUCCAGCUCUGGCAUUGGGCAUGUGUGGUGAGUGCCGAGGAAGGGGCUGGGCACAAAGUGUCCUGAGUGUGGGAGGGAAAGAAGGACGGGGGGACCCUACGGAGUCCAUGUCACAUCCCUGCGUGGAGGGGAAGGGUAGCUAUUGCGAGGACAAUCUGCAGCAUUGACAGUCACUGAGUUUUACAGGAAUGAAAGAAAGGGAGGGGAAAGAGUGCCCAGAAGCCUGUGUGCCCCUGAUGGGCCUGUGGCCACCUGAGCACAGUGGACUUCUCUGCCCUUCCCCUGGCAAUGAGUGGGGUCUGUCCUGUGUGCUGGGCACAGCCAUUUUCCCAGCAGGACAAAGGCUAUGAAAGGCUGAGAGGAUAGAGGACUCGAGGGGCCUCCCGUGGGCCUCGUCAGCACCUCUGCACCGCCCCCCUUACCCCCACCUUAUGCCAACUUCUCUGGACUUUGGUGUGGGUUGAGGAGUAGAGAGUCGGGAGGAGCUAGGUGGCAGGAGGGAGGGUUCCACACUGGAACUUUAGUCCCACACACUGAACCCAGCUUCUCAGCAGUGAGCAGCGCACUCACCAGGAGGAGAAGGGUCCUCUCUGCACACCUGCAUCUCAGGUGGGCCAUGCAAGAGCGUGAGGAGACGCCUGGGGAUCCUUCCUCAAAGUCACGGCCUGGACUGCCCCGCAUGCUGAGGCGGGGAAGCCCGAGAGGACCUGGGAGGCUGUUCGGUUCUCCAUCUGGUGCCGCAUGCAGAGGACUAGGCUGGGUAUGUGUGCGUGUGUGUAUGUGUGCUUGUGUGUGUCUGUGUGUGCUUGUGUACCCAUGUGUGUGCUUGUGUGUGUGCAUGUGUGUCCGUGUGUGUGCUUGUAUGUGUGUGUGUCCAUGUGUGAGUGUGCCUGUGUGUGUGUAUAUAUGGGUCCAAGUGUGUAUGUGUCCAUGUGUGUAUAUGUGAUAUGUAUUUGUACAUGUUUGUGGAUGUGUGUGUACAUGUGUGUAUGUGUGUAUAUGUGUCUGUGUGUUUGUACUUGUAAGUGGUGUGCUUGUGUGCAUGUGUAUCCAUUUGUGUGAGAGUGCUUGUGUGUAUGUGUCCGUGUGUGUAUGUUUCUGUGUGUGUGUCCAUGUGUGUAUAUGUGCAUAUGUAUUUGUACAUGUGUUUGUGGAUGCAUGUACACAUUUGUGUAUGUGAGUGUGUGUAUAUGUGCUUGUGUGUUUUGUGUGUGCAAGUGGUGUGCUUGUGUAUGUAUCAUGUGUAUGUGUCCGUGUGUGUGCAUGUGUAUUUGUACAUGUGUUUGUGUAUGUGUGUACACAUGUGUAUACGAAUUUGCGUAUAUGUGCCUUUGUGUGUGUGCAUGCUUGUAAGUGGUAUCCACGUGUAUGUGUCCAUGUGUGUGUGCAUGCGUAUUUGUAUAUGUGUUUGUGUAUGCAUGUGUACAUAUGUGUAUGUAAGUGUGUGCCUGUGUGUGUCCUUCACAUAUGUGCAUGAGGACUUCCUUGUAAUUGGUGUGAUGCUCUGGUGUCAGAGGGAUCCCGGGACUCUGGGAGCCUAGGUGCAGUUCCCUGCACACAUCUCCUUGCUCAGAGCUUCUGGCCUGAUCUGACCUCCUCUGAUCUCCUUUUCUGGGUCCUGGGAGCACCUCGCUUCGGAAGGACAGUUCCCAUGCUGGCCUCUUGCACUGGGCCGCGGUGGAUUCACUUCGCAGCGUCGCGGGAAUCCAGCUUUCCUCUGCCAUCAUCCAGCUAACCUGAACCUGGCGAGAACAACAGCAAGAAAAACUGCUGGGACAGUGAGAUGAUGGAUUUCAAAUCAUUAUGUUUUUGUUGUACUUUUGAAUGAGCAUUAAAAUUCAUCUCUGGGAACUGUUGAACAGCAAAUGAACAAAAACCCGUAACAGUCCUAAUCCUUCUCCUUAAUAUGUGCACCAGAGGGGGCUGUGCUGUGGGUCUGACUGGGAAUAUUAACCAUUCCAAAAUACAUUUCGGUUUCAUUUUUUAAAAAGGCAAAAAUGCCGUACUGUAGAUUUCUGCUUCCCUCUAGAAGAAAAAACAUGAUACUGUUUUAAACUAAACUGCAGCAUUGGAAAAAAAAAAAAAAAAA